rnacentral:rRNA from 1 species
GUACACGCUGUGACUAGCAUAUCAAUAAGCGGAGGAAAAGAAACUAACAAGGAUUCCCCUAGUAACGGCGAGUGAAGCGGGAAGAGCUCAAAUUUGAAAUCUUAAAGGGUUUCCCUUUACGAAUUGUAGUUUAAAGAAGUGUUUUCUGUUGAGGUUUUGGUAAAAGUUCUUUGGAAUAGGACAUCAUAGAGGGUGAGAAUCCCGUAUUUGACCUUUACUUUCAACUUUGUGAUACACUUUCAAAGAGUCGGAUUGUUUGGGAAUGCAGUCCAAAAUGGGUGGUAAAUUUCAUCUAAAGCUAAAUAUUGGCGAGAGACCGAUAGCGAACAAGUACCGUGAGGGAAAGAUGAAAAGAACUUUGAAAAGAGAGUUAAACAGUACGUGAAAUUGUCAAAAGGGAAGCGUUUGACACCAGUGUUGUUUUUCUGAAAAUCAAUUAAAGAACUGUUUAUGCUAAGUUGUUUAGACUUUAUCAGCUAUCUGUUUAGUUUUGAGCUUUUCUUUAAUGCACUUUUCAGUUAACAAGUCAACAUCAAUUUCUUUUGCUGUAAAAAAGCUUGAGGAAGGUGGCUUGAGAUUCGUCUUAAGUGUUUAUAGCCUCUUGCCUAUGCAGUCGGAGAGAUUGAGGUCUGCAGCGUAGAUCCUUCGGGGCUAAAUGCAUUUGUGCUAAGUUAUAGCAUUUUAUAAACAACUUGUUGACUAUGAUUUGUCUUGUAGCUUACUCGCUUAUGUUAUUUUACCUACGCUUAGGAUGUUGAUAUGCAUGACUGAUAU